rnacentral:misc_RNA from 1 species
GCUGGGUUUUAAUGGGUUACACUAUAAUUGAGGUACUUAAUAAAAUUAUGCAAUCGGGUCUUUUAUUUUGGGUUGAUUUCAAUGAUUGUUGCUCUUGUUUAUGUAUGCCCUUGUUCCCAUGUGAGUAAUCUUUAGGAAAUUCUGUAUCCAUUCGCUGUUUUAUCUAUCAUAAGUAUAUAGACACGCUUCUUGAAUAGCAUUAAUGCGCCAGGAAAGUGAAUGGAUUUGAAGUUUGAAAGCUUGUGCA